GACGAACCGUGCGAACGUUGUUCGGAAUCACUGGGCUUAAAGGGCGCGUAGGCGGUUCAUCAAGUCAGGAGUGAAAUCUUUCGGCUUAACCGGAAAAGUGCUUCUGAUACUGAUGAUCUCGAGGGAGGUAGGGGUCCGCGGAACUUCUGGUGGAGCGGUGAAAUGCGUUGAUAUCAGAAGGAACGCCGGUGGCGAAAGCGGCGGACUGGAUCUCUUCUGACGCUGAGGCGCGAAAGCUAGGGGAGCAAACGGG
rnacentral:rRNA from 1 species